ensembl:lncRNA
GGCUGAGGGAAGCUGAGGGUUGGGAUGGGCUGAGGGAAGCUGAGGGUUGGGAUGGGCUGAGGGAGGCUGAGGUUUGGGAUGGGAUGGCCUGAGGGAAGCUGAGGGUUGGGAUGUGAUGGGCUGAGGGAAGCUGAGGGUUGGGAUGGGCUGAGGGAAGCUGAGGGUUGGGAUGGGAUGGGGGAAGCUGAGGGUUGGGAUGGGCUGAGGGAAGCUGAGGGUUGGGAUGGGCUGAGGGAAGCUGAGGGUUGGGAUGGGAUGGGCUGAGGGAAGCUGAGGGUUAGGAUGGGAUGGGUUGAGGGAAGCUGAG